rnacentral:rRNA from 1 species
AGAGUUUGAUCAUGGCUCAGAACGAACGCUGGCGGCGUGCUUAACACAUGCAAGUCGAGUGCGCGGUCGUAGCAAUACAACUGGCGCACGGCGCACGGGUGCGUAACACGUGGGCAAUCUGCCCUCCGAUGGGGAAUAACUCCGGGAAACCGAAGCUAAUUCCGCAUAAUAUUCCCUGGACUCCGGUUCGGGGAUUCAAAGCAGCAAUGCGUCGGAGGAGGAGCCCGCGCCCGAUUAGCUAGUUGGUGAGGUAACGGCUCACCAAGGCUAUGAUCGGUAGCUGGUCUGAGAGGAUGGCCAGCCACACUGGAACUGAGACACGGUCCAGACUCCUACGGGAGGCAGCAGUGGGGAAUCUUGCGCAAUGGGCGAAAGCCUGACGCAGCGACGCCGCGUGGGGGAUGAAGCUUCUCGGAGUGUAAACCCCUUUCGACCGGGACGAAUGCCCGCAAGGGAGUGACGGUACCGGUAGAAGAAGCCCCGGCUAACUACGUGCCAGCAGCCGCGGUAAGACGUAGGGGGCCAGCGUUGUUCGGAAUUACUGGGUGUAAAGGGUUCGUAGGCGGUGUGGCAAGUCGGGAGUGAAAUUUCUGGGCUUAACUCAGAACCUGCUUCCGAAACUGCUGUGCUGGAGUGUGGGAGAGGCGCGUGGAAUUGCAGGUGUAGCGGUGAAAUGCGUAGAUAUCUGCAGGAACACCCGUGGCGAAAGCGGCGCGCUGGACCACUACUGACGCUGAGGAACGAAAGCUAGGGGAGCAAACAGGAUUAGAUACCCUAGUAGUCC